UUCGGUAAAAAUGUAAUCUCUCCUGUAACUAUGUAAAUAGAUAUAAGGCCUAAUUUAGAUUUCAAGUUGAAGUUCUCUUACCUGAUUUCUCAUUUUCUUCCUCCUGCUAGCAUCUAAUCAAGAAAGAAGGUGGUUUUCCAUAUUGUCUUCCUUUAGAGAAGGAUCUGUUAAAAUUGUUGUGGAUGUUCAAGUUUGACGUUGGGUAAAACUCUUCCCCAGUGCCUCCAAAUGCAUAGAAAGACAAGGCUCCAGAGAAACAAGAGGGACCCAACCAGCGACACUGCUUGCAAGAUAGCUACUUCAUCCCAGCUAAAAUCAGCUCUAACUGCAUUAAAGUGACCUGCCCUCAUUAACAUCUCAAAUUCUGCACAUGUGCACAUGCUACUACAUGCGCCUUAAGAGAACAUGACUACUGGGCAAUAAAGCCAAAUCUCCUGCCUUUCCCUUAACUGAA
rnacentral:lncRNA from 1 species